UACGUAGGGUGCGAGCGUUAAUCGGAAUUACUGGGCGUAAAGCGUGCGUAGGCAGUUUUGUAAGACAGGCGUGAGAUCCCCGGGCUUAACCUGGGAAUUGCGCUUGUGACUGCAAGGCUAGAGUGCGUCAGAGGGGGGUAGAAUUCCACGUGUAGCAGUGAAAUGCGUAGAGAUGUGGAGGAAUACCGAUGGCGAAGGCAGCCCCCUGGGACGUGACUGACGCUCAUGCACGAAAGCGUGGGGGAGCAAACAGGAUUAGAUACCCUGGUAGUCCACGCCCUAAACGAUGUCAACUAGUUGUUGGGGAUUCAUUUUCUCAGUAACGUAGCUAACGCGUGAAGUUGACCGCCUGGGGAGUACGGUCGCAAGAUUAAAACUCAA
rnacentral:rRNA from 1 species